UCAAUCCAUCGACACCAGCGACCCUUCCCUUCAUCGUCUUCUUCAUAGAUCGGGAGAGGGAAGAAUCGAGCGAUCAAGCAUCGAACACAGGUGGUAUUGGUGGUGGUAAUCGAUCGAUCUCUUCUUGAAGGACAAGAAAUCAUCCCCAAUUUUCAAAUCGUACUUCCAAAACCCUAUAAUUUGAUUUGAUCUGUUUCUACGGAGUUUAUUCAAAUCGUACAGAAGGAGAUGAUUUGAUUGCACCAUGUCAUUGCAGAAGUCGGCUUCGCCUCUCAGCGGGAAGACAUCGCUGUCGUUAAUCAAAAUCGAGCACUGAAUCCGCCGCAUGUGAAGAUAUGCGAGCAGGAAGCUAGGGAGAUACCAUGAAAUAGAGAGUUUUAGAUUUUCUUCAUUAGUUCGCGAAAUAAAGUAUGUAGAGGGUGCAGAGCUAGCAGGUUUUUUCAUGUACAGUGAAAACUCAGAAAGUAUAUAGAAAGAGCUUUCUAUGUUUACUGGUAUCAAAAAAGGAUCUAGAGGUUGGAACUGGUAAAGAAGAUAAGUAAAAGCAGGGACUGCAAGUUUUCGUAUAUUAGAUAAGGAGAAUAAAUGUGUUCUAACAGAAUGGUAUUCUUGUAGAACGUAAUUCUCGUCUGGUAUUAGUCUCACAAAAUGUCAUUCUCGUAAGAAUGGUUGGAAUCAAUCGAUUAUGGACCAUUGAAGAAGAUCAAUGUCAUUUGUUCACGAAUUGUAUGGAAUCACGAAUUCCAAUUCUAUUGGAAUGGAAUCAUGAAUUUUAAUUUUGUUGGAAUCUAAACUACAAUUUGGUUUUGUUUUCACAGAAGUUGAUGCUUGAAGAACGGACCACAAAAUUGAAAGUGAUUCUAAGCAACAUUAUUCUUUUAGAAUGUAUUAGUGUCGUUAGAUUUUGAUGUUUUCUUUCCCGUUUUGAAAGUUUUUUUAGUUUUAUUCUUUAACAAUAAAUUUAAUUCUUAACAAUUGU